UAAGCGGAGGAAAAGAAACUAACAAGGAUUCCCUUAGUAACGGCGAGUGAACCGGGAAGAGCUCAAAUUUGAAAUCUGGCUGUCUUCGAUAGUCCGAGUUGUAAUCUAUAGAAGCGUUUUCCGUGCUGAACUGUGUCUAAGUCCUCUGGAACGAGGUAUCAAAGAGGGUGACAAUCCCGUACUUGACACAAUCAUCAGUGCUCUGUGAUACGUUCUCUACGAGUCGAGUUGUUUGGGAAUGCAGCUCAAAAUGGGUGGUAAAUUCCAUCUAAAGCUAAAUAUUGGCGAGAGACCGAUAGCGAACAAGUACCGUGAGGGAAAGAUGAAAAGCACUUUGGAAAGAGAGUUAAACAGUACGUGAAAUUGUUAAAAGGGAAACGAUUGAAGUCAGUCGUGUUUAUUGGAUUCAGCCGGUCUUCGGUGUACUUCCUUUAAACGGGUCAACAUCAGUUUUGUUCGGUGGAUAAAGGCAGUAGGAAUGUGGCUCCCUCGGGAGUGUUAUAGCCUAUUGUCACAUACACUGGAGGAGACUGAGGACUGCAGCUCGCCUUUUUGGCCGGGGUUCGCCCACGUUCGAGCUUAGGAUGUUGACAUAAUGGCUUUAAACGACCCGUCUUGAAACACG
rnacentral:rRNA from 1 species